rnacentral:rRNA from 1 species
UACGUAGGGGGCAAGCGUUGUCCGGAAUUAUUGGGCGUAAAGCGCGCGCAGGCGGCUUCGUAAGCCCAGUGUUUAAGCUCGGAGCUCAACUCCGAUACGCACUGGGAACUGCGAGGCUUGAGUGCAGAAGAGGAAAGUGGAAUUUACGGUGUAGCAGUGAAAUGCGUAGAGAUCGUAAGGAAGAACACCCGUGGCGAAGGCGGCUCUCUGGGACGGUACUGACGCUGAGACGCGAAAGCGUGGGGAGCGAACAGG